rnacentral:rRNA from 1 species
UCCGUAGGUGGUUAUAUUAGUCGGUUGUUGAAAAUCCAAGCUCAACUUGGGGAGGGCAAUCGAAACGGUAUAACUUGAGUGUGCGAGAGGUUAGCAGAACUCAUGGUGUAGGGGUGAAAUCCGUUGAUAUCAUGGGGAAUACCAAAAGCGAAGGCAGCUAACUGGCGCAUCACUGACACUGAGGGACGAAACCCUGGGUAGCGAAUG